ACGCUCGACACCUACGGGAAGCAGCAGUGGGGAAUAUUGCACAAUGGGGGAAACCCUGAUGCAGCGACGCCGCGUGAGCGAAGAAGUAUCUCGGUAUGUAAAGCUCUAUCAGCAGGGAAGAAAAUGACGGUACCUGACUAAGAAGCACCGGCUAAAUACGUGCCAGCAGCCGCGGUAAUCUGAGCGGGCUGGCAAGGC
rnacentral:rRNA from 1 species